rnacentral:rRNA from 1 species
CUGACGGAGCAAGACCGCGUGAGGGAGGAAGGCUCUUGGGUUGUAAACCUCUUUUCUCAGGGAAGAAGCUCUGACGGUACCUGAGGAAUCAGCCUCGGCUAACUCCGUGCCAGCAGCCGCGGUAAUACGGAGGAGGCAAGCGUUAUCCGGAAUUAUUGGGCGUAAAGCGUCCGCAGGUGGCGAUUCAAGUUCUGCUGUCAAAGCACGGGGCUUAACUCCGUUAAGGCAGUGGAAACUGAAUGGCUAGAGUGCCGUAGGGGUAGAGGGAAUUCCCGGUGUAGCGGUGAAAUGCGUAGAGAUCGGGAAGAACAUCGGUGGCGAAAGCGCUCGUACUG